rnacentral:rRNA from 1 species
GUGAGGAAUAUUGGUCAAUGGGCGAGAGCCUGAACCAGCCAUGUCGCGUGAAGGAAGAAGGAUCUAUGGUUCGUAAACUUCUUUUGCAGGGGAAUAAAGUGCAGGACGUGUCCUGUUUUGUAUGUACCCUGAGAAUAAGGAUCGGCUAACUCCGUGCCAGCAGCCGCGGUAAUACGGAGGAUCCGAGCGUUAUCCGGAUUUAUUGGGUUUAAAGGGUGCGUAGGUGGUGUGAUAAGUCAGCGGUGAAAGUUUGCAGCUUAACUGUAAAAAUGCCGUUGAAACUGUCGGACUUGAGUGUAAAUGAGGUAGGCGGAAUGCGUGGUGUAGCGGUGAAAUGCAUAGAUAUCACGCAGAACUCCGAUUGCGAAGGCAGCUUACUAAGCUACAACUGACACUGAAGCACGAAAGCGUGGGGAUCAAACAGGAUUAGAAACCCCAGUAGUCC